rnacentral:rRNA from 1 species
AGUUGCAGGGUAUAGACCCGAAACCCGGUGAUCUAGCCAUGGGCAGGUUGAAGGUUGGGUAACACUAACUGGAGGACCGAACCGACUAAUGUUGAAAAAUUAGCGGAUGACUUGUGGCUGGGGGUGAAAGGCCAAUCAAACCGGGAGAUAGCUGGUUCUCCCCGAAAGCUAUUUAGGUAGCGCCUCGUGAAUUCAUCUCCGGGGGUAGAGCACUGUUUCGGCAAGGGGGUCAUCCCGACUUACCAACCCGAUGCAAACUGCGAAUACCGGAGAAUGUUAUCACGGGAGACACACGGCGGGUGCUAACGUCCGUCGUGAAGAGGGAAACAACCCAGACCGCCAGCUAAGGUCCCAAAGUCAUGGUUAAGUGGGAAACGAUGUGGGAAGGCCCAGACAGCCAGGAUGUUGGCUUAGAAGCAGCCAUCAUUUAAAGAAAGCGUAAUAGCUCACUGGUCGAGUCGGCCUGCGCGGAAGAUGUAACGGGGCUAAACCAUGCACCGAAGCUGCGGCAGCGACGCUUAUGCGUUGUUGGGUAGGGGAGCGUUCUGUAAGCCUGUGAAGGUGUGCUGUGAGGCAUGCUGGAGGUAUCAGAAGUGCGAAUGCUGACAUAAGUAACGAUAAAGCGGGUGAAAAGCCCGCUCGCCGGAAGACCAAGGGUUCCUGUCCAACGUUAAUCGGGGCAGGGUGAGUCGACCCCUAAGGCGAGGCCGAAAGGCGUAGUCGAUGGGAAACAGGUUAAUAUUCCUGUACUUGGUGUUACUGCGAAGGGGGGACGGAGAAGGCUAUGUUGGCCGGGCGACGGUUGUCCCGGUUUAAGCGUGUAGGCUGGUUUUCCAGGCAAAUCCGGAAAAUCAAGGCUGAGGCGUGAUGACGAGGCACUACGGUGCUGAAGCAACAAAUGCCCUGCUUCCAGGAAAAGCCUCUAAGCAUCAGGUAACAUCAAAUCGUACCCCAAACCGACACAGGUGGUCAGGUAGAGAAUACCAAGGCGCUUGAGAGAACUCGGGUGAAGGAACUAGGCAAAAUGGUGCCGUAACUUCGGGAGAAGGCACGCUGAUAUGUAGGUGAGGUCCCUCGCGGAUGGAGCUGAAAUCAGUCGAAGAUACCAGCUGGCUGCAACUGUUUAUUAAAAACACAGCACUGUGCAAACACGAAAGUGGACGUAUACGGUGUGACGCCUGCCCGGUGCCGGAAGGUUAAUUGAUGGGGUUAGCGGUAACGCGAAGCUCUUGAUCGAAGCCCCGGUAAACGGCGGCCGUAACUAUAACGGUCCUAAGGUAGCGAAAUUCCUUGUCGGGUAAGUUCCGACCUGCACGAAUGGCGUAAUGAUGGCCAGGCUGUCUCCACCCGAGACUCAGUGAAAUUGAACUCGCUGUGAAGAUGCAGUGUACCCGCGGCAAGACGGAAAGACCCCGUGAACCUUUACUAUAGCUUGACACUGAACAUUGAGCCUUGAUGUGUAGGAUAGGUGGGAGGCUUUGAAGUGUGGACGCCAGUCUGCAUGGAGCCGACCUUGAAAUACCACCCUUUAAUGUUUGAUGUUCUAACGUUGACCCGUAAUCCGGGUUGCGGACAGUGUCUGGUGGGUAGUUUGACUGGGGCGGUCUCCUCCUAAAGAGUAACGGAGGAGCACGAAGGUUGGCUAAUCCUGGUCGGACAUCAGGAGGUUAGUGCAAUGGCAUAAGCCAGCUUGACUGCGAGCGUGACGGCGCGAGCAGGUGCGAAAGCAGGUCAUAGUGAUCCGGUGGUUCUGAAUGGAAGGGCCAUCGCUCAACGGAUAAAAGGUACUCCGGGGAUAACAGGCUGAUACCGCCCAAGAGUUCAUAUCGACGGCGGUGUUUGGCACCUCGAUGUCGGCUCAUCACAUCCUGGGGCUGAAGUAGGUCCCAAGGGUAUGGCUGUUCGCCAUUUAAAGUGGUACGCGAGCUGGGUUUAGAACGUCGUGAGACAGUUCGGUCCCUAUCUGCCGUGGGCGCUGGAGAACUGAGGGGGGCUGCUCCUAGUACGAGAGGACCGGAGUGGACGCAUCACUGGUGUUCGGGUUGUCAUGCCAAUGGCACUGCCCGGUAGCUAAAUGCGGAAGAGAUAAGUGCUGAAAGCAUCUAAGCACGAAACUUGCC